rnacentral:rRNA from 1 species
UACGUAGGGUGCGAGCGUUAAUCGGAAUUACUGGGCGUAAAGCGUGCGCAGGCGGUUGUGUAAGACAGAUGUGAAAUCCCCGGGCUCAACCUGGGAACCGCAUUUGUGACUGCACAGCUGGAGUGCGGCAGAGGGGGAUGGAAUUCCGCGUGUAGCAGUGAAAUGCGUAGAGAUGUGGAGGAACACCGAUGGCGAAGGCAGCCUCCUGGGCCAGCACUGACGCUCAUGCACGAAAGCGUGGGGAGCAAACAGG